UGGGGAAUAUUGGACAAUGGGCGAAAGCCUGAUCCAGCCAUGCCGCGUGUGUGAAGAAGGUCUUCGGAUUGUAAAGCACUUUAAGUUGGGAGGAAGGGCAGUAAGCGAAUACCUUGCUGUUUUGACGUUACCGACAGAAUAAGCACCGGCUAACUCUGUGCCAGUAGCCGCGGUAAUACAGAGGGUGCAAGCGUUAAUCGGAAUUACUGGGCGUAAAGCGCGCGUAGGUGGUUCGUUAAGUUGAAUGUGAAAGCCCCGGGCUCAACCUGGGAACUGCAUCCAAAACUGGCGAGCUAGAGUAGGGCAGAGGGUGGUGGAAUUUCCUGUGUAGCGGUGAAAUGCGUAGAUAUAGGAAGGAACACCAGUGGCGAAGGCGACCACCUGGGCUCAUACUGACACUGAGGUGCGAAAGCGUGGGGAGCAAACAGG
rnacentral:rRNA from 1 species